rnacentral:snRNA from 1 species
AUACUUACCUGAACGGGAUCAAUGGGUAAUCAAGAAGGCUCAUGGCCUAGAUUAUUGGCCUCCAUUGCACUUGGGAGGAACGCUCAUCUACCAUCUCCCCAAGCGGGAGAGUGGACGUCAAAAUUUGUGGUAGAGGAGGUACGCGUCCGUGCGACCCCUA